UCAAUUUAGUCACUGCAGCAUGCGAGCACUUUGGUUCUUGGUGUAUGGUGUGGGAUGUGAAUUUAUUUUCUCACGAAUUAUUAAAUCUGUGUAUACAAAUUUGUAGUUUUAACUUUCUAAAUUGACAUACCUUAAUCAUGUCCUUAUUUCUCAAUUGCUGGGUGACCACUGCAUCAUAUGUUUUCCUUAGAUCCUAGUUCCUAGCCUUUGCUUCAUACUGAAUUUAACAGCUUGCCAGUUUAUAAAUUUAGCUAUGAAGGUGCAACCUUUAGAAAAUUUUCAGCAGUUUGAUGUUGUAAUUGAAAAUGGUGAACAUCUACUUCAUCCAAGUAAGUUUUGUUUUCUGACUCAAAAAGAAAUUGUAUUUCAUAGUCCUUAAUUUUUUUUAGUACUUAGUAAUGACUUGUGAUAUUUUACCUACAAUUUAUUGUUAUUAUUAUUAUUUUGCGGCACUGCAGCACAUUUAUAGAAAUUUCGAGUUCAUUUAUCACAAUCAUGAAAAUAUCCAUUAUUCUACAAUGUUUUUGGAUCUUUCAUUUAGAAAUAACCAUAUCUUGUGUUUAGAAAAUGAGGGUUAUUCCAAUUUAGGCAUUCUCUAACUGUUUGCACCUAGGUGAUGAGAAGAUUCUGUGUUGGCUAUGCCAUAGGCUUAAAACGAAAUACUUCUCUUUUGUUGAAAUCUGGAAGAUGAUAAUUAUUUUUCCUGUGAUGGCAAAUGAAUGCUGUAGAGUUGGUAGAUGGCUUCAUUGUUAUGAGAGGUGAAAGCAAGGUGUGAAGAAUGCUUGAAAAACUGUUAAGUUUCUUCUUGGAUGAAUGCUGUGUUAUGAUGCAUCAAUAUGUGAUUUUAAGCAAAUAAUUAUUAUGGAUGUCUGAACUUAAAUUUCUGUGUUUUGAUGUUGCAACUAAUGUGUUCGCUGAUCUUGUUGUCUGAGCAAUCGAUUUGGGGAAAAAAAGAAAAAACAGUUUGAACAUUGUGAAGGCUGGAAGUUGGUGAGGGUUGACUAAUGCAACAAUGCCAUUGCACAGUUUCAGUUCCUCUAGAGCAUAAAUUUACUAAAGGAUGCAUUGAAAUUGUAGCCAGAAGCAUAAGCAAUACCAAGGAAAACUUACAGGUCGCAUCUAUCAGGCUUCGUUCCACCUCUCUUCACCUAUUCAAAAAAUGUGGGAAAUAAAAGCACAGAAAGUUCUCAGCCAUAUGCUUCUGAUGUUGCAAGCAACAGUCUCUGACUCGGAAUUUACCCUGCAUGAAGAAAAUGCUAUGUACAAUUUUCAGUUUCUGCCCUACAUUGGCGUUGGCAGAGGUGAGGAGUGACAGCUUUUCAUGCUAAUUCAUGACCACACAGCUUUUUCUAUCCUACAGAUGAUAGUGUACAUUGAAUCAGGUACUUCUAAUGAUUUAUCUAAGUUGUUUUGCCAAAAAAGAAACAGAAAUUGAUUAUGUGGGCCCUGUUUAUACCCUCAUGGUCAUUUGCAACUUAAACCUAGUUCUGCAGAAGUUCCAUUUUCAAAUGUAGUAGUGUAUUUACUAGGAUUUGCAAUUGCAAGUCUGUCUUGUCUGGCCAUUUGGCAUAUGAGGAGUAAGCUAUGGUUGCAUAUGGCAAUUGCAGCCCCUAUUACUGACAAACAACUAGUAAAUUGCAAUAUCUCAAAUUAGGUUGUUGGGGUUUAACUUUUAAUAGACCAUAGUAUUGAUUUAGAGUGGUUUUUAUUGGUCUAAAGUAGACUAAUAGUGCAGACAAAUUGAUGACAGAAGAAAAAUAUAUCCCUAGUGUUUUCCAUAUACACGUGGCAAUGAGAUGAUGUAGACCAUAUGACGAUUGGUAGCCAGUGAAGAAAAACAGAAACCACAUAUGUCCCAGGAAAUAAAAAUCCACACGAGGGCAAUAUCGUCACGUUGGAAAAAACAAAUGGCUCUUUGUUUUGAUUCAAUUCCAGUUCCUGGAGCACUACAAGUAACUGUUGCUCAGCUCUUCCUACGCACACAAGCACAUGCUCGCUCUCCUCUUCUCCAAUUCCUCUCUCUUUCUUCCUUCCUUCCUCUCUUCAAAAAUUUUCAGUCUUUGGGUGUUCAUUUUCCUAUCUGUAUCUCUUUCCUUUCAAUUUUCUCGAGUUUCUAGAAUUCAUUUUGCUCCAUUGCAGUUCUAUAGCCAAUCAAUAUCAGUUUUUUUCUUUGAUCAAGUCCUAUCUUGCUCUUUGUCAUUACAAGGGCUGGAUUUUACUCCAUUGAAGCCUCGAACAGGAUCAGAGGGCAGAGAAACCUUUCUCUCUUCCCAUCCAGCAAUGGUGUUUCGUUCAUUCGCCAGAACAAAGAAGUCACAGCCUACAGACACUAACAAACUCACCGGCAUGGCUUCUUCAACUCUUAAACCUCACCAGCCUCUCCAUAACUUCUCCUUACCGGACCUGAAAUGGUCUAUAAACCACCAUACUAACAGCCACCGCUUUCGCAAGCCUGCUUCCGAUUCCUCUUACAAAUUCCCUCACUGUGAUACUUCAGAGUCCAAUGGGAAUCCGAUAUUUGACGCUGCCAAAAUUGGCGACUCGGAGGCGUAUCCCAUUCGCAAGCCUGCUUCCGGUUCCUCUUACAAAUCCCCUCACUGUGACACCUCAGAGUCCAAUGGGAAUCCGGUAUUUCACGCUGCCAAAAUUGGCAACUCCGAGGCGUAUCCCAUUCGCAAGCCUGCUUCCCAUUCCUCUUACAAAUCCCCUCACUUUGACACCUCACAGUCCAGUGGGAAUCCGGUAUUUCACGCUGCCAAAAUUGGCAACUCGGACGGGUAUCCCAUUCGCAAGCCUGCUUCCCAUUCCUCUUACAAAUCCCCUCACUGUGACACUUCAGAGUCCAGUGGGAAUCCGGUAUUUCACGCUGCCAAAAUUGGCAACUCGGACGCGUAUCCCAUUCGCAAGCCUGCUUCCCAUUCCUCUUACAAAUCCCCUCACUGUGACACCUCAAAGUCCGGUGGGAAUCCGGUAUUUCACACCGCCAAAAUUGGCAACUCAGAGGCAUAUCCCAUUCGCAAGCCUGCUUCCCAUUCCUCCUACAAAUCCCCUCACUGUGACACCUCAGAAUUCAAUGGGAAUCCGGUAUUUCACGCUGCCAAAACUGGCAACUCGGAGGCGUAUCCCAUUCGGAGGACUGAGAAACCUGAGAAAAAAUCGGGGCUCUCAGUUGACAAUUCUGACAGGAAAUCCAAAAUAUUUAUUCGCAUUAAGACUAAGAGCAGCAAGUGUGCUGAUGACGUUGCGAAUGCGGGGGAUCAGACCUCGGUUGUGGAUGAUGCGGACGAAACACUGAUGAAGACAUGGAAUCUGAGGCCUAGAAGAGCUGUGACUAAGGCUUCUAAUGGGAAUGGAGGUUUACUGAAGAUUGGUGGAACUGCCGCGCCGGAAACUAAAGCUCAGGAAACGAGUCGCCCUGAAUUGAUUGGGUCGCGGAAUGCUAACGGUGCUAAGGUGGGUGAGAAGAAAGGGAAGGGUAAGGAGAAGGUGGAGAUGGUGAAGUUCUCAAUCCCGCUUACCAAAGCGGAAAUUGAAGAGGAUAUCUAUGCUUUGACUGGGUCAAAGCCUGCGAGGAGGCCGAAGAAGAGAGCUAAACCUGUGCAGAAACAACUUGAUUGCCUUUUUCCUGGAUUGUGGCUGUCAUCGAUUACGCCUGAUGCAUACAGAGUUUCUGAACCACAUCUGAAGGGUUAGGUGAUUCAUUCAUGUAAACUGGGAAACUCGGUGGUGAAUGACUGCCCAACUUUUUGACAACAGCUGAAAAUGUAACAAAGUUUGAGCCUGUAAGGACGAAAGGUCGUGAUGCUGCGCCUUCACUCAUAACGUUCAUGAAAUUAUGAUCUUUAAUUCCAGCACACAUGUGUAUUUGCUCAAUGAAUGGAAGCAAAGUAGCUGCCGUGGUGGUGAAAACUUGGCGAUAUUCAGCUCAAGGGUGGUGCAUAUAUAACUGUGAAUAAGGGUGCUUUUUGUGCUGAAUGUUCACCUUUUUCUACUUUAAAGCAUUCUGAGAUAUAUCUAUGGGAUGCAAUCUACAUGCUAACUGAGAAUCAAUUCUGUAUGAGCUGCUUUAGGCCAUCUGGAACAAUCUGCUGAGGGGAAUUCAGCAGCUGGAAACAAGAAGGUACCUGGAAGUUGAGGCUGCAAUUGCAUGUGAUAUUUGGGGAUCAUAUGCUGUUGUCUGGAAAGGAUGAACUUAAAAGACGAUGCCGAUAACCCUUUUGAAACUUUACAUGGAAAAUUUUGCUGUAUCCUCUUCAUAGAGACCUUAGCUGUCACUAAAAUUUUCAUCCUUUUUGGAAAAAUUAUCCCAAGAAAUUUUUCCCUUGCAUGGGGAAAUUAUAGAAGAUUAUGUUAUCAGAUCUAUGUUGCAUCCUAUUUUCUCCCAUUGAACCAGCAACCAAGGAGACCUCUGGAUUGCAGUGCCUUUUUUAACAAAUGACAACGAAGAAUCUAAAUGCUAAUAAUAUGAAAGUUUGACGAUGCUGGGGACCAGAACUGAUUGGCAAAGAAUUGAAAUUUGAGGCUCAAACUCCAAAAGAAUGAAAUGCAAGAAACAUCUAAAUCAGAGGCAGAUGAGAAUAAGUUAGGUUUAAAUUCUUGCUUCUCAAUUAAAUUAGCAACUGACUUGUUUCUUAUUAUUUUUCGUACAUCUAAUGCUGUGAUUAAUUACUGUUUAGCUGAUUCUACAAUAAAACUUUAGGCUAAAGUUACAUCUGAUUUAUUACUAUAUUUCCAUUCAUUCUAUAUUUCUAUUUCUUUCCAGCAGCUUCUCACUCAGUAAAAGCUGAACUGGUGGUUCAGUUUACAGUUCAUGCAUUUCCUGGGAUCUUCCUUAGGGACAGAAAUGCUGAUAUCAGACACCACAAACUUUUAAGGCUACUUCCACUUCCUUGUUUUGAAACUUAUGUUAUCUACUACAUGUGCAACUAGCAGCCAAGCCAGGAUUGAAGAUUAAGGGGGGGGAAAAAAAAAAAAGAAGAAAGAUUUCAAAAAUUAAGAGGGGUUAAAUUAAAAAAGCUAUUUUAAUAUUUUACUAUUCUAUCUAGUUCUGUAAUUUUUCAGGAACUUUGCUUAAUAAGAUGAAUGUGUUGUAUUAGAUA